rnacentral:rRNA from 1 species
UACAGAGGGGGCAAGCGUUGUUCGGAAUUACUGGGCGUAAAGGGCGCGUAGGCGGCCGCCUAAGUCAGACGUGAAAUCCCUCGGCUCAACCGGGGAACUGCGUGUGAUACUGGGUGGCUUGAAUCCGGGAGAGGGAUGCGGAAUUCCAGGUGUAGCGGUGAAAUGCGUAGAUAUCUGGAGGAACACCGGUGGCGAAGGCGGCAUCCUGGACCGGUAUUGACGCUGAGGCGCGAAAGCGUGGGGAGCGAACAGG